AAUAACAAAUUAGGCCCUCAAACUCCUAUAUUAGGAGCACUAUUCAGCCUUGUUACACACACUUGUAAGAGCAAAACAAAGAGAGAAGAGAAGGAGAAAGAAGGGCCUAACAUUUGGGAUUUUUUUUACUUCACUAAGGUACCGAAGAAAACGAAGGAAACACUGAAGCCGUGCAAGGUGACAUUCAGCCUUGGUUAGCUUGAAGAGUCCCCAAAUUCCACAAAACCAUUUCCUAUAUUUCUCUAUCUUUCUUUCGCAGUGGUUUUAAAUUUCUUUUUGUGUACCGAGACUAAGUUUUAAGUUCUAUUAGAAUUGUACUUUGAAAACUUUAAAA